AUGGCUUUGUCAGCAACGCGAGGGUUACUGCAUGCAUAUAUUUUCUAGUAACUUCUUGUCAUAUUUAUUGUAGAAUGCUGGGGUCAUUUUUCUGACAAAUUUAAACAUUUUUACUAAACCGUGUCGUUUGCCACCUACAACUCCCCCACCCCCACCUCCACCCAGACGGACACGACCACCACUCCGAUGGAAACCAUUUCCACGUCCAUGGAGACCAUUUCCACGUCCAUGGAUAUCAUUUCGACGCUGCAUUUUUGCUUGCUUUAUGAGCCCUAUGAGUUACUCUCGCUCCUCGCGUGUGUUAAUUGACAGAUCGAAAAAAAGAUUAUCUACAUCAG